rnacentral:lncRNA from 1 species
UGAUACGCCCCGGCCUCGUUGAUUAAUCCGAGUCGUUGAUGUGCCCGAUCGUGAAUUGGAGUAAUGUUGAUAUUUGUCGAAGAUAGGUUAGAAGAAAAGGAUUAUUUAGGCUCAAAAGAGUUUUGUUGGUUUAGGAAAUGAAACAAAAGUCAAUGGAUGCAAUUUGGCUAAGGAUUCAAAAGCUGAACUAACACAAUGGUAGUGUGUUAACCCGUAACUUAUGAGAAUGCUUAGGUUGGUAAGGUGUUGAUGGAAGGUUUGUGAAGUGGAUAGAAACUU